AAUAUCUGAUGAACCGAACCUUAACCAUCUUUCGACUGAUCACAAACGUUGAUGCCAUCAAAGUUUCACUGAUUUAUU